rnacentral:rRNA from 1 species
CAUGUCUUUUUGAUAAUAAUUUAAAGUCUGACCUGCCCUAUGAUUUUAUUAAAUGGCCGCGAUAUUUUGAUCGUGCAAAGGUAGCAUAAUAAUUAGUUUUUUAAUUGGGAACUGGAAUGAAAGGUCGAACGAGAAAAAAUCUGUCUCAAUUUAAAUUAAAUUAGAAUUUUAUUUUUAAGUAAAAAAGCUUAAAUAUUUUUAAAAGACGAGAAGACCCUAUAGAGUUUUAUAAUUAAUUUAUAAUUUUUUAGUUUAAGAAUUUAAUUUUAAAAUUAUAAUUUAAUUAUUUAGUUGGGGUGAUUGAAAAAUUAAAUAAACUUUUUUUAAUUUUUACCAUUAAUAUAUGAAUUAAUGAUCCAUUUUUAAUGAUUAAAAGAUUAAAUUACCUUAGGGAUAACAGCGUAAUUUUUUUUGAGAGUUCUUAUCGAAAAAAAAGUUUGCGACC